AGUGAACGCUGGCGGUAGGCCUAACACAUGCAAGUCGAACGGCAGCACAGUAAGAGCUUGCUCUUACGGGUGGCGAGUGGCGGACGGGUGAGGAAUACAUCGGAAUCUACUUUUUCGUGGGGGAUAACGUAGGGAAACUUACGCUAAUACCGCAUACGACCUACGGGUGAAAGCAGUGGAUCUUCGGACCUUGCGCGAUUGAAUGAGCCGAUGUCGGAUUAGCUAGUUGGCGGGGUAAAGGCCCACCAAGGCGACGAUCCGUAGCUGGUCUGAGAGGAUGAUCAGCCACACUGGAAAUGAGACACGGUCCAGACGCCUACGGGAGGCAGCAGUGGGGAAUAUUGGACAAUGGGCGCAAGCCUGAUCCAGCCAUACCGCGUGGGUGAAGAAGGCCUUCGGGUUGUAAAGCCCUUUUGUUGGGAAAGAAAAGCAGCAGGUUAAUACCCCGCUGUUCUGACGGUACCCAAAGAAUAAGCACCGGCUAACUUCGUG
rnacentral:rRNA from 1 species